GGAUGUUCUUCCUUAUUGUCUACAGAGCACAUUGACUUUCCCAGCCAGGUCAUUCCUGGCAGGCACACAAGCCCUUCUCAAAGUCCCAUAUGAAAUAUUUGAGACUACCUGACAGCUGAAGUGACUGACACGUCACAGAAGAGGCACAUGUCUGCAGGCACUUGAGGGCUGCAGCUGCACAGAGCUCCAAAACGCUGCACUGGAUACUCAGUGACUAGAGAACGUGCAGUGGGAUUUACAGACUGAGUGCAAAGUGCAGAAGGAGGUCUGUUUUCCCAAUCCAAAUGGUGACUGUGUAAUGUGGUUUUCAGAGAGAGCCAGGGAGCUUCCACUCAGGCUCACGGCACCCACCAAAGCCAGGGAGGUUCAGCUGUGGCACAGCAUCACAAACUCUUGGGUCUCCAAAGAUGUAAAGUGAACCAGGAUGAGUGGGAAUUCAUGCUGGUAUCUCGAUUGUCUGCAUCAGAGGAGGCCCUACAACAGGGAAAAACAGGAAUCUCCAGUGAGAAUGAUGUAUGACCAUGGCAAGGUCUUUCUGCUCAGCAAAACCAGAGAGGACAAUGGUAGCUGGCAGCUGCUGUGUCAGCUGCCAUCCUUGCUGUGGAUUUGUGUGGGGCUAGGAGCACGCUCCCUGCCAGUUUGCAGGGCUCAGCUCACCUGCAGCAAUCUGUCCAGCAGUAGCAACUCCAUGGCUCCCAUUGUCUCCUCAGAUGACAAACCAGCAAAGUGCUUUGAGGCAGUAGUGCCCAGUUUUUCAGCUCUGCCAACUUCCUCAGAAAGCAGCACCCAGUUGUGUUACCUUUAUUUUUUAAUCCAAAGUAGUUACAAACAAGGGGUUUGCUGGUUGCUUUGGACAGCCUUCAGGAAUCUGGCAGGUGUGGCAAACACAAGAACUGCCACCCCAAAGCUCUUGGUGCUGCUGCUCCUUCAGGAGAUGGGGGAACAAGUUGGUGUCUCCUGCAAAAACUUCUUUAUGAUCAUUUCUAGUACAAUACUAUAAGAAACCUCUUUUUCUUGCCCCAGUGAUAUGAGAGGUAUGAAACACUGCCUUGAGCACAGAUCAAAGAAAGAUGAUAAAAAAAACUCUUUCCCCUUGUGCAUUCAAAACCCUCCAUCACAUAUUGCACACCACAGAUUGUGCUUCCUACCAGUGCCCUCUGAAGGGUCCUCUGCUGUUAGUUUGGCAGCAAUAAGACACCUUGCAUCCAAAAUAGAUCCCUCACUAGACCCUGGGGGAACCCAGAGGAAAUGAAAAAACUGGCAUUUGUCAGCAAAAUGUAGUGUAAUUCACAUCUUCCAUCAGGAAUCCGUGUGCACAGCCAUGCCUGGUG